rnacentral:rRNA from 1 species
ACUCCUACGGGAGGCAGCAGUGGGGAAUUUUGGACAAUGGGCGAAAGCCUGAUCCAGCAAUGCCGCGUGAGUGAAGAAGGCCUUCGGGUUGUAAAGCUCUUUUGUCAGGGAAGAAACGGUGAGAGCUAAUAUCUCUUGCUAAUGACGGUACCUGAAGAAUAAGCACCGGCUAACUACGUGCCAGCAGCCGCGGUAAUACGUAGGGUGCAAGCGUUAAUCGGAAUUACUGGGCGUAAAGCGUGCGCAGGCGGUUUUGUAAGUCUGAUGUGAAAUCCCCGGGCUCAACCUGGGAAUUGCAUUGGAGACUGCAAGGCUAGAAUCUGGCAGAGGGGGGUAGAAUUCCACGUGUAGCAGUGAAAUGCGUAGAUAUGUGGAGGAACACCGAUGGCGAAGGCAGCCCCCUGGGUCAAGAUUGACGCUCAUGCACGAAAGCGUGGGGAGCAAACAGGAUUAGAAACCCUAGUAGUCCCAUG